AUGAGCAUGUCACAAUUUUCGCCUGUUUACAUGCAUUGCAAUUUUUAGAUUGCAAUGCAUGUAAACAGGCGAAAAUUGUGACAGUAUUUUC